rnacentral:rRNA from 1 species
UUUACCCGCUGGAACUUAAGCAUAUCAAUAAGCGGAGGAAAAGAAACCAACAGGGAUUGCCCCAGUAACGGCGAGUGAAGCGGCAACAGCUCAAAUUUGAAAUCUGGCUCUCGGGCCCGAGUUGUAAUUUGUAGAGGAUGCUUUUGGUGAGGUGCCUUCCGAGUUCCCUGGAACGGGACGCCAUAGAGGGUGAGAGCCCCGUCUGGUUGGACACCGAUCCUCUGUAAAGCUCCUUCGACGAGUCGAGUAGUUUGGGAAUGCUGCUCUAAAUGGGAGGUAUAUGUCUUCUAAAGCUAAAUACCGGCCAGAGACCGAUAGCGCACAAGUAGAGUGAUCGAAAGAUGAAAAGAACUUUGAAAAGAGAGUUAAACAGUACGUGAAAUUGUUGAAAGGGAAGCGCUUGUGACCAGACUUGGGCUUGGUUGAUCAUCCGGGGUUCUCCCCGGUGCACUCUUCCGGCUCAGGCCAGCAUCAGUUCGCCCUGGGGGAUAAAGGCUUCGGGAAUGUGGCUCUCUCCGGGGAGUGUUAUAGCCCGCUGCGUAAUACCCUGUGGCGGACUGAGGUUCGCGCAUUCGCAAGGAUGCUGGCGUAAUGGUCAUCAGUGACCCGUCUUGAACCACGGACCCAA